UUUUGUUGUUUUUUUUUGUUUCAUUUUUGUGAAAUGUUUUGGUUUUUAUUUUUUUUGUUUUAACAUCUAAAAUUUGUUUUUUGAACUGGAUUAGUACCCAGGUAAUCAAAGUUUAUUAAUUCGGGAGUAAAGUUUUGUUUAAACCGAAAAAAUAUUGACUGACCUAGGUUUUUUCUUUGGAACAUGUGGCUGGAGAGCCCUCCUUUGUUGUUAGUUUUUUUUAGCACAUGUAUGAUUGUUUAGUUUUUAUGUUUUUUGUAAUGCUUAUCAUUGUUUUUGUUAAGAACAGAUAUAUACUUGGUUUAUGGACUAUUUUUUCAUGUGUUACUAUUUAUAAAUUUUUUGAAUAUUUUAUUUGUUUUUUUUUGAAAUUGGAAAAGAGAGUAAUUUUUUUUUGAUGKGAAUAUGAAUUU
rnacentral:rRNA from 1 species